CCUACGGGGGACAGCAGUGAGGAAUAUUGGUCAAUGGGCGGGAGCCUGAACCAGCCAAGCCGCGUGAGGGAAGAAGGUACAGCGUAUCGUACACCUCUUUUGUCAGGGAACAAAGGCGGGGACUAGUCCCCGGAUGAGGGUACCUGAAGAAAAAGCAUCGGCUAACUCCGUGCCAGCAGCCGCGGUAAUACGGAGGAUGCGAGCGUUAUCCGGAUUUACUGGGCGUAAAGAGAGCGUAGGCGGCACUACAAGUCUCAUGUGAAAUACCCGGGCUUAACGUGGGGGUUGCAUGGGAAACUGUAGAGCUUGAGUACAGGAGAGGCAAGCGGAAUUCCUAGUGUAGCGGUGAAAUGCAUAGAUAUUAGGAGGAACACCAGUGGCGAAGGCGGCUUGCUGGACUGAAACUGACGCUGAGGCUCGAAAGCGUGGGGAGCAAACAGGAUUAGAUACCCCAGUAGUC
rnacentral:rRNA from 1 species